rnacentral:rRNA from 1 species
GACGAACGCUGGCGGCGUGCUUAACACAUGCAAGUCGAACGGAAAGGCCCUGCUUUUGUGGCUUUCUCGAGUGGCGAACGGGUGAGUCUAACGUGUGUAACCUGCCCUUAACAUUCGGAUAACUUCAGGAAACUGGGGAUCAUACCGGCUAGGAGCUCCUGCUGCACGGGGGGGGUUGGAAAGUUUCGGCGGUUUGGGAUGGACUCGCGGCUUAUCAGCUUGUUGGUCGGGUAGUGGCUUACCAAGGGUUCGACGGGUAGCCGGCCUGGGAGGGGGACCGGCGACGUUGGGACUGAGCGACGGCCCAGACUCGUAUGGGAGGCAGCAGGGGGGAAUAUUGCACAAUGGGCGGAAGCCUGAUGCGGCGACCCCCCGUGCGGGAAGACGCCCUUCGGGUUGUAAACCGCUUUCGCCUGUGACGAAGCGUGAUUGACGGUAAUGGGUAAAGAAGCACCGGCUAACUACGUG